CCUUUGAUCCUGGCUCAGAGCGAACGCUGGCGGCGUACUUAACACAUGCAAGUCGAACGGGGAUCAUUGUGUGAGCAAUCAUGUGAUGGUCCUAGUGGCGCACGGGUGAGUAACACGUGGGUAACCUGCCCUUGAGACCGGGAUACCCCUUCGAAAGGGGGGCUAAUACCGGAUACGUUCCCUAGGUUGAAAGAUCUGAGGAAGAAAGGUGGCGCAAGCUGCCGCUCUUGGAGGGGCUCGCGGCCUAUCAGCUAGUUGGCGGGGUAACGGCCCACCAAGGCUAUGACGGGUAGCUGGUCUGAGAGGACGACCAGCCACACGGGGACUGAGACACGGCCCCGACUCCUACG
rnacentral:rRNA from 1 species